AAAAGUAGGCUCAACACCAGCAGAUAUAUAAACGCUGCCAACCCGUUUUAUAUCGUGGAGGUAAAACAGGCAGAGAGACAGCGACACACCCUCCUGGAGCUCCGGGACUCCGCCGGAGCAGAGGGCGAGACCGGCUGAACUCCACCCGACCGUGCGGAGGGUUUGUCCAGGCAGCAGAGCCAGGGCCGGUGGUCAAGGUGGGGCGUGUUUCUGACUGAAUAUGUGCACCUCAAACAGACGAGGGAAGGAGAAGGAGUCGCUAUCUGUGCCUUUUUUGUUUUUAAAUCGAGGCUGUCCUUCAACCCAACAACUCUCACGCUCUCUGGCUGACUCCCAGCUCCCAGCUCCCCCUCACCCCUGGCCCCUAAUGGCUGACACACAGCAGUUCUUCACUGGCAAGCUUUAUGUUCCUGUACACAUGCUAAAGCUGCCAGCUGAAGAACUGCUCUGGUCUGCCCUGCCCCGGAUGAAUCAAGAAGAGGAAGCGGACGGGGGUUGCUGGGAAGAGGACAGAGGAAGGCGGUGUUUCUGUUUCACACGCUCAGCAGGCAGACUGGACGUAAUAACUAUAGAGAUUUUAUCCAACAUGUUUAUAAUCCUGUGUUUAUCACAUAUGUUUUAUUUAAAUUUACGUAAUAUAGAAUGUUUAUUUUCCAUAUUUUUCCUAACCAACAGUGUUUAUAGUCUGUUAUAUUUUUACAUUUAAUUCUGUAUUGUCUGUAUUUUACAUAAGACAAUACAGAAUUAUUCACUUUUAGUCUUUUUUUUCAAAAACCUGCCCAUAUUGUGUAUGAUGUACGUGUUUUUAAAUAAAGGAAUAUUUUCUCAGA